rnacentral:tRNA from 1 species
AAACAUUAAAAUCAAUUGGUUAGCCGAUUCGACUCAUAAUCGAUUGGUCACUGGUUCAAGUCCAGUAGGGGUCACCA